UAACCCUAGCCCUCAAUCAGUCACGGAUUCUUCUCCUCUCCUUUUUCUUUCGUUAUCAUUUUUGCUCCUAAUCCUACGCCUCCAUACUCAUUCGCCACUGAAUCAAUUGAUGCAUUUCACUGGUAGAUGACGAAAGUUGUGGUAGGUUGAAUUGAGAAAGCAACCAUCUCAGUUUUUUUCAUUAGGGUUUUUCUUUAAAUCUUCUCAGCGUCUCUCGAAUUAAGGUCUUGAAAUGAUAAUAGUGGAGAACAAAUCCUUAUGUCAGAAUCCUCUUCAAAGGAAAUGAAAGAAAAAC